rnacentral:snRNA from 1 species
AAGUAUUACAGCUCUUUUAGAAUUUGUCUAGCAGGUUUUCUGGUCCUUACCAGAAAACCCCC